rnacentral:lncRNA from 1 species
AACUGAUUCACAAAAUGUCACAUAUCCAUACAACAGGAAUUAUUUGACAAUGAAAAUGAAUGAAUGAUACAUGCUACAACAUGGACCAACCUUGAAACAUUAUGCUAAGUGAAAAAAGCGUACCCUAGCUCAUCUUUCCCAUGCUUCCAGAUGUCAUUUUGAGUUGCCAAGUACUUAGGCAGAGACCCCGAAGAAACCUCAGGCUCCAGAGUCACAGAGU